rnacentral:rRNA from 1 species
GACGAACGCUGGCGGCGUGCCUAAUACAUGCAAGUUGAGCGCUGAAGGUUGGUACUUGUACCGACUGGAUGAGCAGCGAACGGGUGAGUAACGCGUGGGGAAUCUGCCUUUGAGCGGGGGACAACAUUUGGAAACGAAUGCUAAUACCGCAUAAAAACUUUAAACACAAGUUUUAAGUUUGAAAGAUGCAAUUGCAUCACUCAAAGAUGAUCCCGCGUUGUAUUAGCUAGUUGGUGAGGUAAAGGCUCACCAAGGCGAUGAUACAUAGCCGACCUGAGAGGGUGAUCGGCCACAUUGGGACUGAGACACGGCCCAAACUCCUACGGGAGGCAGCAGUAGGGAAUCUUCGGCAAUGGACGAAAGUCUGACCGAGCAACGCCGCGUGAGUGAAGAAGGGUUUCGGAUCGUAAAACUCUGUUGGUAGAGAAGAACGUUGGUGAGAGUGGAAAGCUCAUCAAGUGACGGUAACUAUCCAGAAAGGGACGGCUAACUACGUG